GCCAACUUUUGGGCCUAUUCUUUAUGGACUUUUGGUCCAUUUCUGCAGUGUAUACCCAGCUGUAUACUGACUGUAUAUCAGUUUCGCUGCUGCUGCGUUUUUGUAUAUCUGGUGUAUACAUGACCGUAUACUGAUCAUACAUAUAUGCAUUUUGGUCUUCCACCUGUAGAAUAGCUUCCCUUUCUCACUUUCAGCCAUAUAUCCUCAGUAUACCGCUGUAUAUCUCUAUAUACAGCUUUGUAUCAGUCCAUUUCCUUCAUGUAUUAGUCCACUUUAGGGCUUUAGCGCGGAGUUUGGCUCGACGGAUAUGCAAGAGUGGGGUCCGAUGAACUCGAGAUUAUUGGAUUUCAUGCAUGAAACAAAGGGUAAAGAUUAGUAUCAAGAGAUAGAUCAAGUAUUAAAUCACCAAAUGCAUAACUCUCAAGAAUAUUUUAUGAUCAUAAAUCCAUUCUUUAAGAAAUCAGAGAAUCCAAUUGGCACCUAAUUUACAAAUUCAAAUGAAAAGGAUUAUGAAACUAAGCUCUGUGAAAGCACAAAAAAAAUUCAGUAUCACAUAGAAUUCAUUUUUUUUUUUCUUUGGGAGCUACACAGUUUACAUUUUUACACUAUGGGACAACUAAGAUUCAAGUUUACACGAAGAGAUGUAAAGAAUGAGCCUUCAUAUACUGCAUACAUAGAGGAAUCAGGACAUGAUAUUAUUCAUGCUCAACACUGUGGAGUAAGGAGCUAGCUGGACAUGAGAAUAUUUGCAUGGCAUACUUGUCCAAAUCAAUUCAUUCACACUCACACAAGGAAAAGGAGAGAUCCAAAGAAACAUCAUGUUGACCCUCGAUCAAAGUUUGUGUUACUCUUGAACUCACAACAUGAAAGAGAAGAAAAUAAUGAAGAACGACAAGUCAACAGAUCAUUUAUUUCAAGCAAAGAGUUAUCGACACAAGACAUGGAUCAUGAACUUCGAUCAAACGAAUUUCUUUUUCCAUAGGUUAUGGAUAAAAACCACCACACCUAGAUAGGAUUCAAACUUCUCAACUACAACUCAAGUAUACAAAGACGGAAGUGGUAAUCUUUCUACCACUUUGAUAUUGUUAAAAACAAAGUCCACACGAUCCUGGGUAUAGAAAUAAUGGCUAAAUUAUUAAAACAAGACUAAAAUCAAGCUUUGGCUUUCAUAACAAACAAGAAGAGUACUCAGGAAGCUGGAGAUUGAAUUAGAGCAAAGUUCAACCCGUUUUUCAACGUUUCACUCCCUAAAAAAUGUCCCUAAUAAUAACUAUUCCAUUUUUUUCAGCUUUCAAAGGAUAUUAACAAAACAAGUAAGAUCUUUAGGCGCUUCCGAAACAUCGACUUUAUCACAAGUUCAUGGAGGUCACGACAUGACAAAACAACGUAAAGGUUUACUGAAAAGUAUUAAACUAGCAGUGAUUCACCACCAACAAUCAAAUCAUAACACAAUUUUCAAUCUAAGAAAUUUCAGCUAAUACCAGACAAUAUUCACCAUACAAGACCAAUCACAAAACUCACAGCUACAGUGAAGUGCAAUCAUAGAAACGGAAUAGGAGAACAAGGGAAAAGGCGAGUUUUUUUUACCUUUUUGCGGGCAGCGAACGGAACGGGACGAGCUUUAAGCGAUCGGAAUUUCACCAAAAUUUAUAUUGUUUCCGCCGGUGUUUCAAUUUCAUCUUGCUGAAAUUUUAACUUUUCAUCGGGAUUGAUUUCCAAUGGAAUUUCUUCUUGAAUUCUUUGGUUACGCAGGGUUAGAGGAACGCUCCUUCCGAAUCCCCAAUUUCCCCAAAAUCCCCUUUCAACUAUUGUUCUUCAACGGGUAUUUAUAGGAGAUUUUGGGACUGAAUUUAGGGGGAAAUAGGAGGGUGUUUUGGGGUUUUCGAAAAGGAUUUUAAAUAUUGAAAUUGGUUACGAAAUUGAUCGUUGUUGCUGAGCUGUUACUAUAGUUGUUGUUAGUCAUUGUGCGCAGCUUUUGAAAGAUGUGGCUACGGUAUUGUUGUUAUGCGCAGGUGUUGCCGUUUGUACGGGUUUGCUGUCACCGUGGUGUACGCCAUUUGGCGUUGGAGCUGUUGGUCGCUUUUGGGAGUUGUACGUUGUUGUUUACUUUUUUAUCGUUGUUUGCGUUGAAGUUGUUUGUACGCUGUUAUGUUGAUGUCAGUUGUUGAGUUUCGUUCUGUAGAACCGGUUAAGGGGAGAAAGGGAGAAAAGGUGGGCCG
rnacentral:lncRNA from 1 species